UACAGAGGGUGCAAACGUUGCUCGGAAUUAUUGGGCGUAAAGCGCGCGUAGGCGGCUACUUAAGUCGGCUGUGAAAGCCCUUGGCUCAACUGAGGAAGUGCACCCGAAACUGAGUGGCUUGAGUACCAAAGAGGGUCGCGGAAUUCCCGGUGUAGAGGUGAAAUUCGUAGAUAUCGGGAGGAACACCGGUUGCGAAGGCGGCGACCUGGGUGGAUACUGACGCUGAGGCGCGAAAGCGUGGGGAGCAAACAGG
rnacentral:rRNA from 1 species